UACGUAGGGUGCGAGCGUUGUCCGGAAUUAUUGGGCGUAAAGAGCUCGUAGGCGGUCUGUCGCGUCGAUCGUGAAAACUUGGGGCUUAACCCUGAGCUUGCGGUCGAUACGGGCAUGACUGGAGUUCGGCAGGGGAGACUGGAAUUCCUGGUGUAGCGGUGAAAUGCGCAGAUAAUCAGGAGGAACACCCGAUGGCGAAGGCAGGCUCUGGGCCACUAUCUGCGC
rnacentral:rRNA from 1 species